rnacentral:tRNA from 1 species
AUAAAGACAUGUUUUUAAUAAACAGGUGAAAAAUAAUUUGCCGAAUUCCUUUAUU